rnacentral:rRNA from 1 species
GUGUCAGCAGCCGCGGUAAGACGAAGGAUGCAAGCGUUAUCCGGAUUCAUUGGGUUUAAAGGGUGCGUAGGCGGAUUUGCAAGUCAGUGGUGAAAUCUCCGGGCUUAACUCGGAAACUGCCAUUGAUACUGCAGAUCUUGAGUACAGAUGAUGUUGGCGGAAUAUGACAUGUAGCGGUGAAAUGCAUAGAUAUGUCAUAGAACACCGAUUGCGAAGGCAGCUGACAAAACUGUAACUGACGCUGAGGCACGAAAGUGCGGGGAUCAAACAGGAUUAGAUACCCUCGUAGUCC